AUAAGUUUUUGGCAAAAAUUUCAUUUUUGGUACAAGCUUUUAUCGCUGACUAGUUGUGUUUUUUUUAUACCACAUCGGUGACAAACAAGCAUACGGCCCGCCUGAUGGUAAGCAGUCACCGUAGCCUAUGGACGCCUGCAACUCCAGAGGUAUUACAUGCGCGUUGCCGACCUUUUAAAAACCUGUACACUCCUUUUUUGAAGAACCCCAUACUGUAGACCCUCGGGAAAACCU